rnacentral:rRNA from 1 species
CAGUCGCCGCGGGAAUACAGAGGGUGCGAGCGUUAAUCGGAUUUACUGGGCGUAAAGCGUGCGUAGGUGGUUUGUUAAGUCUGCUGUGAAAUCCCCGGGCUCAACCUGGGAAUGGCAGUGGAUACUGGCAAGCUAGAGUGUGUCAGAGGAUGGUGGAAUUCCCGGUGUAGCGGUGAAAUGCGUAGAGAUCGGGAGGAACAUCAGUGGCGAAGGCGGCCAUCUGGGACAACACUGACGCUGAGGCACGAAAGCGUGGGGAGCAAACAGGAUUAGAUACCCCUGUAGUCCCUGUCUCUUAUAC